rnacentral:rRNA from 1 species
AUUGAACGCUGGCGGCAUGCCUUACACAUGCAAGUCGAACGGCAGCGGGCCUUCGGGUGCCGGCGAGUGGCGAACGGGUGAGUAAUGCAUCGGAACGUGCCAUUGAGUGGGGGAUAACGUAGCGAAAGUUACGCUAAUACCGCAUAUUCUGUGAGCAGGAAAGCAGGGGACCGCAAGGCCUUGCGCUCUUUGAGCGGCCGAUGUCAGAUUAGCUAGUUGGUGAGGUAAAGGCUUACCAAGGCGACGAUCUGUAGCGGGUCUGAGAGGAUGAUCCGCCACACUGGAACUGAGACACGGUCCAGACUCCUACGGGAGGCAGCAGUGGGGAAUUUUGGACAAUGGGCGCAAGCCUGAUCCAGCCAUGCCGCGUGAGUGAAGAAGGCCUUCGGUUGGU